rnacentral:tRNA from 1 species
GCCGGGGUGGCGGAACUGGUAGACGCACCAGACUCAAAAUCUGGCGUCCCUUGGGAUGUGCGGGUUCGACUCCCGCCUCCGGCACCA